rnacentral:rRNA from 1 species
GAUUGAACGCUGGCGGCAGGCCUAACACAUGCAAGUCGAGCGGUAGAGAGGUGCUUGCACCUCUUGAGAGCGGCGGACGGGUGAGUAAUGCCUAGGAAUCUGCCUAGGUGGUGGGGGAUAACGUUCGGAAACGGACGCUAAUACCGCAUACGUCCUACGGGAGAAAGCGGGGGACCUUCGGGCCUCGCGCCAUUAGAUGAGCCUAGGUCGGAUUAGCUAGUUGGUGAGGUAAUGGCUCACCAAGGCGACGAUCCGUAA